GGCGGACGGGUGAGUAACGCGUAAGGAACUUGCCUCUUGGUCUGGGACAACUGUUGGAAACGACAGCUAAUACCGGAUAUUAUGAGAUUCUCGCAUGGGAAACUUAUGAAAGCUAUAUGCGCCAAGAGAGAGCCUUGCGUUCCAUUAGCUAGUUGGUGGGGUAACGGCCCACCAAGGCGACGAUGGAUAGCCGGCCUGAGAGGGUGAACGGCCACAAGGGGACUGAGACACGGCCCUUACUCCUACGGGAGGCAGCAGUGGGGAAUAUUGGACAAUGGGCCACAAGCCUGAUCCAGCAAUUCUGUGUGCACGAUGAAGGUCUUCGGAUUGUAAAGUGCUUUCAGUUGGGAAGAAGAAAGUGACGGUACCAACAGAAGAAGCGACGGCUAAAUACGUGCCAGCAGCCGCGGUAAUACGUAUGUCGCAAGCGUUAUCCGGAUUUAUUGGGCGUAAAGCGCGUCUAGGCGGAAAAAUAAGUCUGAUGUUAAAAUGCGGGGCUCAACUCCGUAUUGCGUUGGAAACUGUUUUUCUAGAGUACUGGAGAGGUGGGCGGAACUACAAGUGUAGAGGUGAAAUUCGUAGAUAUUUGUAGGAAUGCCGAUGGAGAAGUCAGCUCACUGGACAGAUACUGACGCUAAAGCGCGAAAGCGUGGGGAGCA
rnacentral:rRNA from 1 species